UACGUAGGGGGCGAGCGUUGUCCGGAAUUAUUGGGCGUAAAGAGCUCGUAGGCGGUUUGGCAAGUCGGGUGUGAAAACUCCGGGCUCAACUCGGAGACGCCACUCGAUACUGCCAUGACUCGAGUCCGGUAGGGGAGUGCGGAAUUCCUGGUGUAGCGGUGAAAUGCGCAGAUAUCAGGAGGAACACCGGUGGCGAAGGCGGCACUCUGGGCCGGUACUGACGCUGAGGAGCGAAAGCGUGGGGAGCGAACAGG
rnacentral:rRNA from 1 species